GAUGAACGCUGGCGGCGUGCUUAACACAUGCAAGUCGAACGGGAAACCUUUUAUUGAAGCUUCGGCAGAUUUAGCUGGUUUCUAGUGGCGGACGGGUGAGUAACGCGUGGGUAACCUGCCUUAUACAGGGGGAUAACAGUCAGAAAUGGCUGCUAAUACCGCAUAAGCGCACAGAGCUGCAUGGCUCAGUGUGAAAAACUCCGGUGGUAUAAGAUGGACCCGCGUUGGAUUAGCUGGUUGGUGGGGUAACGGCCCACCAAGGCGACGAUCCAUAGCCGGCCCGAGAGGGUGAACGGCCACAUUGGGACUGAGACACGGCCCAGACUCCUACGGGAGGCAGCAGUGGGGAAUAUUGCACAAUGGGGGAAACCCUGAUGCAGCGACGCCGCGUGAAGGAAGAAGUAUCUCGGUAUGUAAACUUCUAUCAGCAGGGAAGAUAAUGACGGUACCUGACGAAGAAGCCCCGGCUAACUACGUG
rnacentral:rRNA from 1 species